rnacentral:lncRNA from 1 species
AAUAGUGUACAUAAAUGCAACAACUUUUCCAAAUAUGUUUUUUUAAUAUAUCUGUUUUUAGCUCUUCAACUUUUGCUUUGAAUACUCGGCAAAUCAAAUCAGGUCUAUUUUGAGCUUCAUCCGUUGACAGUAAAUAUUCUUCUAUUUCUGGCCAAGAAGGAUUACAAGUCAUAGUCAAAAAUAUAUCAGGUUUUCCGAAAUGUUAAACUAACGUAAUAGCAUCCAUAUAACGUUGACGCAUAUCUCUAGGACCUCCUGUAAAGCUUACAGGAAGAAAUGUUUGUUUUCCUACUUUUGAAGCAUCUCU